rnacentral:rRNA from 1 species
ACUGAAAGUGCUUUACAACCCUCAGGCCUUUUUCACACACGCGGNAUUGCUGGAUCAGGCUUGCGCCCAUUGUCCAAUAUUCCCCACUGGUGCCUUCCGUACGAGUCUGGGCCGUGUCUCAAUCCCAGGGGGGCCUGGUUAUCCUCUCAGACCAGCUUAAGNUUGUCGNCUUGGUGGGGCCUUACCCUNCCAACAAGGUAAUGCUACCCAGGCUCAUNUNAUAGCGAGAGCUUUCAAGAANAGGCCCCCUUUUGCCCGUACGGUGUGUGCGGUAUUAGCUCGAGUUGGCUUGUGUUAUCCCCCACUACUAGGUAGAUCCCUACGNGUUACACACCCGCCCGCACUCNACGCCUGGAAGCAAGUUUACUUCGUUUNCGUUCGACUUGCAUGUGCUAACCAUACCGCAGCGUUCACUCUGAGCCAGGAU